rnacentral:rRNA from 1 species
GACAGAGGAGGCGAGCGUUAUCCGGAGUUAUUGGGCGUAAAGGGGACGUAGGCGGCUGGUCAAGUCUGGGGUUAAAGACCACAGCUUAACUGUGGGGGGGCCUUGGAAACUGACCGGCUGGAGUGGGGCAGGGGUUGCGGGAAUUCCCGGUGUAGCGGUGAAAUGCGUAGAUAUCGGGAAGAACACCUGAGGCGAAAGCGCGCAACUGGGCCCCAACUGCCGCUGAGGUACGAAAGCUAGGGGAGCGAAUGGG